AGCAAUAAAUAGAACAAAACCAACACAAGCAAACUCGAAAUCAACAAUGUCGACAAAGUCUAGCACUACCAUCCUUGCCUUUGCCUUUUGUUUCUUGUCUCUCCUCAGCUUCGCUUACUCCAACACCACCGAUGACAAAAUCUACCUCUCCGGCCUGGUCUACUGUGACAACUGCCAAUUGAAGUCUAUGACCGAGAUCAGUAAGAUGAUUCCAGGUGCAAAGGUGCGAUUGGAGUGUAGGGAGGGGGGGGAACAUAAAAUCCAGCCAAGAGGGCGAAACCAACCCGCUUGGACUGUACGUGUUUGAGUUGGACAAUUCUGAGGAGCCUGUGGAUGAUUGUCAAGUGACAGUGCUACACAGCCCUGACCCUGAAUGCAAGAUUUCCCACGAAGUCGACCCUAACAACAAAUCGAAAACUGCGCCGGUGGCCACCCGGAAGAUCAACCUAUUAGAAGGAGACAGCGUCGUUUUCAUCGGUCCAAGCCACCGCGUUUCCUACCCUCUUGGUUUAGUCGUUGAGAAAGCUCGUCCCGAGUGCGAGCAGUUCGCCAAAGCGCGCAAGCAUUUUCAGAACUAAUUUAAGGAAUUGAAGACGAAAACCGUCUGAUAUUAAAUCAAUCUCCAAUUUCAAUGAAUUUUUCUUUUUGAUUGCAAAGAUAGAUAAAUUGUGGUUUAAGAAAUCAACAGUUACGAUUAUGAUA